UACGUAGGGUGCGAGCGUUAAUCGGAAUUACUGGGCGUAAAGCGUGCGCAGGCGGUUUUGUAAGCCAGAUGUGAAAUCCCCGGGCUCAACCUGGGAAUGGCAUUUGGGACUGCAAGGCUGGAGUGCGGCAGAGGAGACUGGAAUUCCUGGUGUAGCAGUGAAAUGCGUAGAUAUCAGGAGGAAUACCGAUGGCGAAGGCAGGUCUCUGGGCUGACACUGACGCUCAUGCACGGAAGCGUGGGGAGCAAACAGG
rnacentral:rRNA from 1 species